GUCUCGGUUUCUCUCAGAGACUCACGCACAGAGCAGCCGCAGAGAGGCAGGCAGCGUUGGGAAUCCCCAAUCCCCAAUUCCCAAACUCUCCCGCAGUCGAGCAGGGAGCACCGGAGCAAGCCGCCACCGCCGGCCAACCGACGGCGUCUAUCCUCUCUCGUCGGAACCCACGUAUCUCGCGGCCACGGGCGAGCCCCUUGCCUUCCUUCCUUCCCCCGACUCUCUGCACCUGCUCGCAGACGACAUCUGCUCGGGCUCGGCCACGCCGUCGUGCUGCCGGCCUGCGGCCUGACGGACCACUCCUGGCGGCCGGCGCAUGAGCAGAUCACUGGAUGAGCUCUCCUAGUCUCCUACUCUCCUCCAACAGUAGAGCAACUGUAGAAGAAGAGGUAAUCAUAGUUUGAACAAAUGAAGCUGUUACAUUCCAAGGUAUUUAGUUCUUGCAGUGAGACCCUAGACUGCGCCCUCAAAUUUGGCAAUAUCCACCAGACCAAAGAGAUGCAGUGAGGAGGGCAUAUCUGAUGGAAGAUGGAAGAUGAGAAUCUUGCCAAUAACCUGUUAGUUCACAUAGAGGGUGGAAUUCUAGAGAACUACAGCUACGAAGAUGUCAUUGUAGAUUUCAGAAGCAAGGGUGACCGGAGAGUUGAUUUGUAGCAUAUAAUUUAACUUUAGCGAAAGCAAUAGCAGCAAGGGAACCAAGCAAGCAGCCUGGGUGGUUGCAGUUGGCUGCGGUCUGGAUCAUAAGUAGCAUCACUCCCAGCUGCUUGUCCCGGAUGAGCCUAGAGAAGAAGAACAUGAUCGGAUGGGCGGAUGAAGCAAUCACACUGUAUGUUUUGUAUGUUCACAAUCGUUAGAGGAGGGGUGGGGAAUUUGACCUGAAACGAGAAUGAAAACACUUGGAUUUGUUUGUGCCAAGCCUCGACUGAUUACACAAGAGAGACACGUGUCAACACAGGACUGGAGUAAAAUACAACCUAAAUCAAAUUGAAAAUCAGGCGUAUGAUAGUUGGACAGUCCCAUUUGU